UACGGAGGGUGCAAGCGUUAUCCGGAAUCACUGGGCGUAAAGGGCGCGUAGGUGGUCUGUUAAGUCUGGCGUUAAAGCCUGGGGCUCAACCCCAGAUCAGCGUUGGAUACUGGCAGGCUAGACGGUUGGAGAGGCGAGUGGAAUUACCAGUGUAGCGGUGGAAUGCGUAGAUACUGGUAGGAACACCCAUUGCGAAGGCAGCUCGCUGGACAACACGUGACACUGAGGCGCGAAAGUGUGGGGAGCAAACCGGAUUAGAUACCCGU
rnacentral:rRNA from 1 species